rnacentral:rRNA from 1 species
UUAAGCGACUAAGCGUACACGGUGGAUGCCCUGGCAGUCAGAGGCGAUGAAGGACGUGCUAAUCUGCGAAAAGCGUCGGUAAGGUGAUAUGAACCGUUACAGCCGGCGAUGUCCGAAUGGGGAAACCCAGUGUGAUUCGUCACACUAUCGUUAACUGAAUACAUAGGUUAACGAGGCGAACCGGGGGAACUGAAACAUCUAAGUACCCCGAGGAAAAGAAAUCAACCGAGAUUCCCCCAGUAGCGGCGAGCGAACGGGGAGCAGCCCAGAGUCUGAAUCAGCUUGUGUGUUAGUGGAACGGUCUGGAAAGUCCGACGGUACAGGGUGAUAGUCCCGUACACCAAAAUGCACAGGCUGUGAACUCGAAGAGUAGGGCGGGACACGUGGUAUCCUGUCUGAAUAUGGGGGGACCAUCCUCCAAGGCUAAAUACUCCUGACUGACCGAUAGUGAACCAGUACCGUGAGGGAAAGGCGAAAAGAACCCCGGCGAGGGGAGUGAAAAAGAACCUGAAACCGUGUACGUACAAGCAGUGGGAGCACCUUCGGGUGUGACUGCGUACCUUUUGUAUAAUGGGUCAGCGACUUAUAUUCUGUAGCAAGGUUAACCGUAUAGGGGAGCCGCAGGGAAACCGAGUCUUAACUGGGCGUUAAGUUGCAGGGUAUAGACCCGAAACCCGGUGAUCUAGCCAUGGGCAGGUUGAAGGUUGGGUAACACUAACUGGAGGACCGAACCGACUAAUGUUGAAAAAUUAGCGGAUGACUUGUGGCUGGGGGUGAAAGGCCAAUCAAACCGGGAGAUAGCUGGUUCUCCCCGAAAGCUAUUUAGGUAGCGCCUCGUGAACUCAUCUUCGGGGGUAGAGCACUGUUUCGGCUAGGGGGUCAUCCCGACUUACCAACCCGAUGCAAACUACGAAUACCGAAGAAUGUUAUCACGGGAGACACACGGCGGGUGCUAACGUCCGUCGUGAAGAGGGAAACAACCCAGACCGCCAGCUAAGGUCCCAAAGUCAUGGUUAAGUGGGAAACGAUGUGGGAAGGCCCAGACAGCCAGGAUGUUGGCUUAGAAGCAGCCAUCAUUUAAAGAAAGCGUAAUAGCUCACUGGUCGAGUCGGCCUGCGCGGAAGAUGUAACGGGGCUAAACCAUGCACCGAAGCUGCGGCAGCGACACUAUGUGUUGUUGGGUAGGGGAGCGUUCUGUAAGCCUGCGAAGGUGACCUGUGAGGGUUGCUGGAGGUAUCAGAAGUGCGAAUGCUGACAUAAGUAACGAUAAAGCGGGUGAAAAGCCCGCUCGCCGGAAGACCAAGGGUUCCUGUCCAACGUUAAUCGGGGCAGGGUGAGUCGACCCCUAAGGCGAGGCCGAAAGGCGUAGUCGAUGGGAAACAGGUUAAUAUUCCUGUACUUGGUGUUACUGCGAAGGGGGGACGGAGAAGGCUAUGUCAUCCGGGCGACGGUUGUCCCGGUUUAAGCAUGUAGGCUGGUUAUCCAGGCAAAUCCGGAUAAUCAAGGCUGAGGUGUGAUGACGAGGUACCACGGUACUGAAGUGACAGAUGCCCUGCUUCCAGGAAAAGCCUCUAAGCAUCAGGUAACAUCAAAUCGUACCCCAAACCGACACAGGUGGUCAGGUAGAGAAUACCAAGGCGCUUGAGAGAACUCGGGUGAAGGAACUAGGCAAAAUGGUGCCGUAACUUCGGGAGAAGGCACGCUGGUGUGUAGGUGAAGUCCCUGCGGACGGAGCUGAGACCAGUCGAAGAUACCAGCUGGCUGCAACUGUUUAUUAAAAACACAGCACUGUGCAAACACGAAAGUGGACGUAUACGGUGUGACGCCUGCCCGGUGCCGGAAGGUUAAUUGAUGGGGUUAUCCGUAAGGAGAAGCUCUUGAUCGAAGCCCCGGUAAACGGCGGCCGUAACUAUAACGGUCCUAAGGUAGCGAAAUUCCUUGUCGGGUAAGUUCCGACCUGCACGAAUGGCGUAAUGAUGGCCAGGCUGUCUCCACCCGAGACUCAGUGAAAUUGAACUCGCUGUGAAGAUGCAGUGUACCCGCGGCAAGACGGAAAGACCCCGUGAACCUUUACUAUAGCUUGACACUGAACAUUGAGCCUUGAUGUGUAGGAUAGGUGGGAGGCUUUGAAGCGUGGACGCCAGUCUGCGUGGAGCCAACCUUGAAAUACCACCCUUUAAUGUUUGAUGUUCUAACGUUGGCCCCUUAUCGGGGUUGCGGACAGUGUCUGGUGGGUAGUUUGACUGGGGCGGUCUCCUCCCAAAGCGUAACGGAGGAGCACGAAGGUUAGCUAAUCCUGGUCGGACAUCAGGAGGUUAGUGCAAUGGCAUAAGCUAGCUUGACUGCGAGCGUGACGGCGCGAGCAGGUGCGAAAGCAGGUCAUAGUGAUCCGGUGGUUCUGAAUGGAAGGGCCAUCGCUCAACGGAUAAAAGGUACUCCGGGGAUAACAGGCUGAUACCGCCCAAGAGUUCAUAUCGACGGCGGUGUUUGGCACCUCGAUGUCGGCUCAUCACAUCCUGGGGCUGAAGUAGGUCCCAAGGGUAUGGCUGUUCGCCAUUUAAAGUGGUACGCGAGCUGGGUUUAGAACGUCGUGAGACAGUUCGGUCCCUAUCUGCCGUGGGCGCUGGAGAAUUGAGGGGGGCUGCUCCUAGUACGAGAGGACCGGAGUGGACGCAUCACUGGUGUUCGGGUUGUCAUGCCAAUGGCACUGCCCGGUAGCUAAAUGCGGAAGAGAUAAGUGCUGAAAGCAUCUAAGCACGAAACUUGCCCCGAGAUGAGUUCUCCCU